GGCUGCUGGUGAUGGGCUGAUGCUACAGGUGGUGAGCGCUGCCAGCCUGCGCUCGGACACCUCCUCCGAGUGGAUGGUGCUGUGUCUCCUCUGGUGCUCGCUGGCACAGUCCCUGCUCCUGCCCCUCUUCCUUUGGGCCUGCGACCGCUACCGUGCCAACCCACGUGCUGUCUGCGAGAAGUGCCGCACCGUGCUGGCCAAUGACGAUGAGGAUGAAGAGAGCAGCCUGGAGGGCACGGUGGCCGUGGCAG
rnacentral:lncRNA from 1 species